AGAGUUUGAUCCUGGCUCAGGAUGAACGCUAGCUACAGGCUUAACACAUGCAAGUCGAGGGGUAACAGGAGAGAAGCUUGCUUUUCUUGCUGACGACCGGCGCACGGGUGAGUAACGCGUAUCCAACCUUCCCCUUAGUAGAGGAUAGCCCGGCGAAAGUCGGAUUAAUACUCUAUGUUCUUUCUGGAUGGCAUCUGAUGGAAAGCAAAGGUUUACCGCUAAGGGAUGGGGAUGCGUCUGAUUAGCUUGUCGGCGGGGUAACGGCCCACCGAGGCGACGAUCAGUAGGGGUUCUGAGAGGAAGGUCCCCCACAUUGGUACUGAGACACGGACCAAACUCCUACGGGAGGCAGCAGUGAGGAAUAUUGGUCAAUGGGCGAGAGCCUGAACCAGCCAAGUAGCGUGCAGGAUGACUGCCCUAUGGGUUGUAAACUGCUUUUAUAGGGGAAUAAAGUGAGCCACGUGUGGCUUUUUGUAUGUACCCUAUGAAUAAGGACCGGCUAAUUCCGUGCCAGCAGCCGCGGUAAUACGGAAGGUCCGGGCGUUAUCCGGAUUUAUUGGGUUUAAAGGGAGCGCAGGCUGAAGGUUAAGCGUGACGUGAAAUGUACCGGCUCAACCGGUGAAUUGCGUCGCGAACUGGUCUUCUUGAGUGAGUACGAGGAAGGCGGAAUUCGUGGUGUAGCGGUGAAAUGCUUAGAUAUCACGAAGAACUCCGAUUGCGAAGGCAGCCUUCCAGUCCUUAACUGACGCUAAAGCUCGAAAGUGCGGGUAUCGAACAGGAUUAGAUACCCUGGUAGUCCGCACGGUAAACGAUGGAUGCCCGCUGUUGGCGAUACACAGUCAGCGGCCAAGCGAAAGCGUUAAGCAUCCCACCUGGGGAGUACGCCGGCAACGGUGAAACUCAAAGGAAUUGACGG
rnacentral:rRNA from 1 species